GACGAACGCUGGCGGCGUGCCUAACACAUGCAAGUUGAGCGCUGAAGGUUGGUACUUGUCCCAACUGGCUGGGCAGCGGACGGGUGAGUAACGUGUGGGGAACCUGCCUUUGAGCGGGGGACAACAUUUGGAAACGAAUGCUAAUACCGGAUCAAAACUUUAAACACAAGGUUUAAGUUUGAAAGAUGCAAUUGCAUCACUCAAAGCCGAUCCCGCGUUUUGUUAGGUAGAUGGUGAGGCAAAGGACCACCAAGGCGAUGAUACAGAGCCGAACGGGGAAGGUGAUCGGCCACAAUUGGAAUGAGGCCAGGCCCAAACUCCUACGGGAAGGAGCAGUAGGGGAUCAUCGGAAAUAGACGGAAGUCUGACCGAGCAACGCCGCGUGAGAUAAAAAAGUUUUCGGAUCGUGAAACUCUGUUUGGAGAGGAGAACGGUUGUGAGAGUGGAAAGCUCAUGAAGUGACGGUAACUACCGAGAAAGCGACGGCUAACUACGUG
rnacentral:rRNA from 1 species